GGUUUCCUGGUGUAAUGGCUAGCACUGCGGAUUCUGAUUCCUCUGGCAUGUAGAGCUCACUGCGUCUGAGCAUCGAUGAGCCAAGAUAGGAGGAGUCUUCCGCCAAUCUGGGUUCGAUUCCCAGGGAGACCU